CCAAGUGGAUCAAGGCA
rnacentral:tRNA from 15 species